CCAAAGGCUCUUUUCAGAGCCACCUCCCAACUCAAAAAGGAGCAUG
rfam:Tupaia chinensis contig45519, whole genome shotgun sequence.